UACGGGGGGGGCAAGCGUUGUUCGGAAUUACUGGCGUAAAGGGCUCGUAGGCGGCCAACUAAGUCGGACGUGAAAUCCCCAGGCUCAACCUGGGAACUGCGUCCGAUACUGGAUGGCUUGAAUCCGGGAGAGGGAUGCAGAAUUCCAGGUGUAGCGGUGAAAUGCGUAGAUAUCUGGAGGAAUACCGGUGGCGAAGGCGGCAUCCUGGACCGGCAUUGACGCUGAGGAGCGAAAGCCAGGGGAGCAAAGCGGG
rnacentral:rRNA from 1 species